AGGGACCAUGGGGAUUGAAGGGCUUGCAUGAAUAUCAGCAGCAGCUUCAAGUGGAGAAUCUUUCAUCAGAAAAGGAGAAAAAUAAGUAGCCUAAGGAGAUUUGCUAGUUUGAGUCCUGGGAGAUGAGAUGGGGAAGAUGGGCCCAAGCUGCAACAUGAAGGUCCAUGAUGAACAGUUGGCAUCUCCUACAGUGCCUGCCACUUGGUAAUGUUCAAUGCAGCCAAGGGAGCUAAGGUAAUGAACAAAACAGAGAAGUUCCUACCCUCCCUGAUGUUCAUUCUAGCAAAUGGAGACAGAUGAUAGAAACUGCACAUCAUUGAGCAAGAGGGACACCAUGGAUAAUGGAAAGAUCUACGGCAAGGCUGGCUGUCUGCCCUGUCUAAGGAGGACGUACUGGACCAUCCUGCUCUGCACAUCCAGAUGUGUCCAUGAAUACAUCCAUAAAACGAUGGCCUGUGGAAUCCUAUAGGAAAAUGAUCCAGAGCCUGGGCGGUCAGAAGGAACAAACACUUGAUUUACAAAAUAAAUCUUCUAUGUUUAUGUUUUAAAGACACACAGAGGAAAAA
ensembl:lncRNA LINC01580 long intergenic non-protein coding RNA 1580